AACAGGAUUAGAUACCCUGGUAGUCCACGCUGUAAACGAUGUCGACUUGGAGGUUGUGCCCUUGAGGCGUGGCUUCCGGAGCUAACGCGUUAAGUCGACCGCCUGGGGAGUACGGCCGCAAGGUUAAAACUCAAAUGAAUUGACGGGGGCCCGCACAAGCGGUGGAGCAUGUGGUUUAAUUCGAUGCAACGCGAAGAACCUUACCUGGUCUUGACAUCCACAGAACUUUCCAGAGAUGGAUUGGUGCCUUCGGGAACUGUGAGACAGGUGCUGCAUGGCUGUCGUCAGCUCGUGUUGUGAAAUGUUGGGUUAAGUCCCGCAACGAGCGCAACCCUUAUCCUUUGUUGCCAGCGGUCCGGCCGGGAACUCAAAGGAGACUGCCAGUGAUAAACUGGAGGAAGGUGGGGAUGACGUCAAGUCAUCAUGGCCCUUACGACCAGGGCUACACACGUGCUACAAUGGCGCAUACAAAGAGAAGCGACCUCGCGAGAGCAAGCGGACCUCAUAAAGUGCGUCGUAGUCCGGAUUGGAGUCUGCAACUCGACUCCAUGAAGUCGGAAUCGCUAGUAAUCGUGGAUCAGAAUGCCACGGUGAAUACGUUCCCGGGCCUUGUACACACCGCCCGUCACACCAUGGGAGUGGGUUGCAAAAGAAGUAGGUAGCUUAACCUUCGGGAGGGCGCUUACCACUUUGUGAUUCAUGACUGGGGUGAAGUCGUAACAAGGUAACC
rnacentral:rRNA from 1 species